CUUAUACGCCCUCUGUUCGGAAUUACUUGUCACAAAAAAGGAUGUAUCUACAACUAAAAUACAUCUAGAUACAUUCAUUUCUUGGAUGAGUAAUUCUGAACAGAGGGAGUAUUUA
rnacentral:pre_miRNA from 1 species